rnacentral:rRNA from 1 species
GUAGGGAAUAUUGCGCAAUGGGGGAAACCCUGACGCAGCGACGCCGCGUGAGUGAUGAAGGCCUUCGGGUCGUAAAGCUCUGUUGCAGGGGAAUAAAAAAUGAAGGUACCCUGUGAGGAAGGAUCGGCUAACUUCGUGCCAGCAGCCGCGGUAAGACGAGGGAUCCUAGCGUUGCUCGGAAUCAUUGGGCGUAAAGAGGGCGUAGGUGGCUUGGUAAGUCAGGUGUGAAAGCCCAGGGCUCAACCCUGGAAGUGCAUUUGAUACUGCUGAGCUUGAGUGUCGGAGAGGUUACCGGAAUACCUGGUGUAGUGGUGAAAUACGUAGAUAUCAGGUGGAACACCGGAGGCGAAGGCGGGUAACUGGACGAACACUGACACUGAGGCCCGAAAGCGUGGGGAUCAAACAGGAUUAGAAACCCUAGUAGUCC